CGGGCUGUAGCGCAGUUUGGUAGCGCGCCUGCUUUGGGAGCAGGAUGUCGCAGGUUCGAAUCCUGUCAGCCCGACUA
rnacentral:tRNA from 1 species